rnacentral:lncRNA from 1 species
AUAAUUGUAUGUUCUUUUUAAGGAAUAUUGAUGCGUAAAAUCGCCUCAGACGAUCGAAAAUUAUAAUUGUAUGUUCUUAUGUAUCAAUAUUCGUCUCAGAAAAUCAAACCACCACAAAGUGCGAUCCAAACAAGAUAUUCAAAGAUACUCACAUCAACGCGAUUGGUGUCGUGAAUUAUUUGGGAGAACACAAUUAUGGAGGAGCAAUGGCGGUGGCAGUUUGGAGAAAGAAGAUAUGGGUGGCUGCUCUUUGGAGGAACGAGAGGAGAUAAAUUCAGAUCGUGAGAGGGAAAAAAAUGUGAGAUCGAUAGUGGCUAUUAGGUAUAAAUUGGACGGAUCGGAUCGGAAUUAGCCUUAUUUCGGAAAAAAAAUCUGAAUUUUUUCGGAAGUGAAAAACUAGUUUCAGUUUCGUUCCAUAAAAAAUCAGAAAUCGGAAUUUCGAAAAUUGGAACGCAAAAACUUGUUCCAAAAUUGAAGGUUUUUGGAUAGGAACCAGCGGAAUCCGGAAUUUUCAAAUAAUAAUAUUUGUAUUUUAAUUGUAAUAUCCGGGAAAAAAUCGAAAAUUUUGGAAUUAUUUUUGAAACUUUAAUCGGAUCUGAAAUCGAAAUUCAUAUAUAUAUUUCAAUUCUAAUCCAAGUAAUUUCGUAAAAAUUGAAAGUUGGAAUUUCCAUAUUUGGAUUGAAAACUAUCAAUUCCAAAAUCGGAAAAUUUCGAAUCGGAGUCGGCGGAUAGAAGCAAAUAAUUUUGAUAUUGAUUCGAAC